UACGGAGGGUGCAAGCGUUAUCCGGAUUUACUGGGCUUAAAGGGUGCGUAGGCGGGUAGGUAAGUCAGUGGUGAAAUCUCCGGGCUUAAUCCGGAAACUGCCAUUGAUACUAUUUAUCUUGAAUACUUUGGAGGUAAGCGGAAUAUGUCAUGUAGCGGUGAAAUGCGUAGAUAUGACAUAGAACACCAAUUGCGAAGGCAGCUUACUGGACAGUGAUUGACGCUGAGGCACGAAAGCGUGGGGAUCAAACAGG
rnacentral:rRNA from 1 species